rnacentral:rRNA from 1 species
UACGUAGGGCGCGAGCGUUGUCCGGAAUUAUUGGGCGUAAAGAGCUCGUAGGCGGUUUGUUGCGCCUGCUGUGAAAGACCGGGGCUUAACUCCGGGGCUGCAGUGGGUACGGGCAGACUAGAGUGCGGUAGGGGUAACUGGAAUUCCUGGUGUAGCGGUGGAAUGCGCAGAUAUCAGGAGGAACACCGAUGGCGAAGGCAGGUUACUGGGCCGUUACUGACGCUGAGGAGCGAAAGCAUGGGGAGCGAACAGG